rnacentral:rRNA from 1 species
CGCACGGGUGAGUAAUACAUAGGAACGUACCAAUAAGUGGGGAAUAACUAUGGGAAACUGUAGCUAAUACCGCAUGUGAUGUAAAUUAAAGGUGGCCUCUGCUUGCAAGCUACCGCUUAUUGAUCGGCCUAUGUCCCAUUAGCUAGUUGGCAGGGUAAUGGCCUACCAAGGCUACGAUGGGUAGCUGGUCUGAGAGGAUGAUCAGCCACACUGGGACUGAGACACGGCCCAGACUCC